rnacentral:rRNA from 1 species
UACAGAGGGUGCAAGCGUUAAUCGGAAUUACUGGGCGUAAAGCGCACGUAGGCGGGUCGUUAAGUCAGGGGUGAAAUCCCGGAGCUCAACUCCGGAACUGCCUUUGAUACUGGCGACCUUGAGGCUGGAAGAGGUUAGUGGAAUUCCCAGUGUAGAGGUGAAAUUCGUAGAUAUUGGGAAGAACACCAGUGGCGAAGGCGGCUAACUGGUCCAGAUCUGACGCUGAGGUGCGAAAGCGUGGGGAGUAAACAGG